GACGAACGCUGGCGGCGUGCUUAACACAUGCAAGUCGAGCGGUAAGGCCCGUUUCGGGGGUACACGAGCGGCGAACGGGUGAGUAACACGUGGGUGACCUGCCCUCAGCUCUGGGAUAAGCCUGGGAAACCGGGUCUAAUACUGGAUAUGACUCCAUGACGCAUGUUGUGGGGUGGAAAGCCUUGUGCGGCUGAGGAUGGGCCCGCGGCCUAUCAGCUUGUUGGUGGGGUGANGGCCUACCGAAGGCGACGACGGGUAGCCGGCCUGAGAGGGCGACCGGCCACACGUGGGACUGAGACACGGCCCAGACCCCUACGGGAGGCAGCAGUGGGGAAUCUUGCGCAAUGGGCGAAAGCCCUGACGCAGCGACGCCGCGUGAGGGAUGACGGCCUGGUGU
rnacentral:rRNA from 1 species